GGGGCUGUAGCUCAGUUGGUAUGAGCACCUGACUGGCAGUCAGGGGGUCACGGGUUCGACUCCCGUCAGCUCCACCA
rnacentral:tRNA from 3 species